CUGCUGGCAGCGUGGCAGCGGAUCAUCAUCUCCCAUCUUUUUCUUUGUUGCUAUCUUACUGACGCAUCUCAUCGAAGUUUUGCGCCACUCGUGAGCGUUAAUCUGAGCGUUGUUACGGUCCUUCGUCCCCUCCCUCCCUCCCUCCCUCCCUCCCCCCUCUCUCUGUCGACUCGAUCCAGUGCGGCAGAGCUGUCUCCUCGUCGUUUUUUUUUUCUUGCUCAGCUGCGCGCUUACCAACUCGUUGCUGAUCAUAUCCGUUCACAGGCGCGCCGAAGCACCGGCAUACAUACCGGCAGGGCCGUAGACGCGCGUGUAUCCAAAGAUAGACAUUCGCCAUAGAUAAGUGAACGCUAUAUAUGCACUGCUAGAUAGAUCCCAGAGUUGUACCCGCACAAGCGUAUUGAAGGCACGCCGCCGCAGGCGUGCCGCAUAGCCUACCCCGCCCCCCCUGUCGAUCUCUAUACGACAUGCACGCACGUAGUAAAGCACACGAAUUUUGUGCGUUGGGCGUUGUGCAACGCCACGGCGCCACGGCGACGGUGACGCCUGAGCGCGACUUGGAGGAUCGCCUUCAGCGCGCCCUGCACGAGAACAGCAUAUUGAAGCUCCAGAAGAAUGAGCUGGAGGAGAAGCUCAAGAAGGUGCAGACGCAGUUUCGCCGCCUUGUCGCGGACUGGCGUCGGGCGCAGGAGAGUGGCGCAGUGGCAUCCCCCGGCCCUGCGUCAUCGCCGUGUUCGGCGGCACUACCCGCACGACCCCACUCAGCGGCCGAGGCAGCGAUUCGAGGCUCGUCUGCGACGCCGUCGCUAAGGGGGCUGCUGCCUCCGUUGAACCCGAAUCAGCCUGCUCACGCGCCCACCGGCACGUCCUCGGACACAGCGAAACAGUUUAAGAAGCAGGGCAGCUCGCCGAACCUCGCGACUGCCGCUGCGGGUGUGAGCGAGGCUGAGCUGGCGGCCUGCAAAGCAGCGCUCGCGCAUGCGCAGCUGGAGCUCCAGCAGGUGCGCGCGGCUGCCCUGGCCGCUGCCAAGGCGCGAACUACUGCACUCGCUGCUUCGAGCAACGCAACCACCAAGUCAGCUGACGCCUCCGCAGCCACCUUGGCAGCGGCAAAGCAGGAGGCAGCACAGCUCCGUUCUCAGCUUCAGCAGGUACGCGAGGAGCUCAACGCCGCCCUACUCGGCCAGCAGCAGCUGCAGGCGCAGUCCAGCCAAGCCGUGCAGGGGCUGCAGCAGCAGCUGGAGGCGCAGUACCGCGCCUCUAUUGACACCCUCGCUCGUGAGAAGCAGGAACUGAGUUUGAAGGUGCGACUCAUGGAGGCAGACAGGCAGGCCACAAACUCGGUGGAGGCGGGCGGCCCAGACCCGAUGGAGAUGGUGACCCUACAAGGGGAGGUGCACCGCAAGGCGAGCGAGGCCACUCUCCUGAACAGUCGCCUCCAGUAUGCGCAAGGACAGGUCGAGACGCUGAAGGGUGAGUGCAACCGGCUCAUCGAGGAACUCAAGGAGGCGCACACAGCCCAUGCGGACACAAAGAGGGCUUUGUUCACGGUGGAGCACGAGGCAGCGUCGCUGCGAACGCGAUGCGGGUCGAUGGACGAGUUGGAGCUGGCGCUGCAGCGCAAAACGGCGGAGUGCACAAAUAUCGAACAGGAGUUGCUGAAGCUCGUUGGCUCGCUGCAGGCUUGCCAGCGUGAGACGGAGACGGCGGUUCGCCUUGAGUUCGACAGUCGUCUCACGGAGGUUCAGGAGAUGCGCGACACGGCGGAGCGAGAACGACGGGAGGUGGAGCGAAAGCUGCUUAACUGCCAACACGACCUUGCGGAGCUGCGUCGUCGGUUGGAGGGCACGCAGGAGGACCUCCAGCUCUACCGCGGUCAGGUAGCAAAGCUAGAGAAGGAGAAGAGUGCUAUGUCGGCGCAGAUUGCGUUCGCGGGGCACACAGCCGCGGCGGCCGCCGCAGCAGGAGCCGACCUCACCGACGACGACGUGCAUCGCGCCCUGGCAGUGGCGGCAAUCAAGAAGAGGGGAUCGCGGAUACCGAAGCGUGAGGCGGACGUGGGUGGUACUGCUGAUGGAGGCGCCGCUGCCACGUCUCGCGGUGAUGCCGACGCCGCUGGUGCGGCCCCGGCGAAGGAGGCGAGGGAAGCGCUCGAUCUUUUCGAGGCCCUGUCGUGGGACGGCGACUGGGAGCAGGGCCAGAUGCGCGAGGCUCUGGCCACCGCUGCGAUGGACCUGGAACUGGCCGAGACGCGCUGUCAACAGAUGGCUGAGCAGGUGGAGCAGUCUCGCGAGAUGCUGCGCAAGGUGAGCGAUGAGCGAGAUAUGCUGCUCGAGGAGAGCAUUGCCCUUCGUGGUCGGGUGACGCAUGUACAGACCAUUUUCGCCAAACAGCAACUGCAGGCGUAUCGGGCAGCCGCCACAGCGAGCGGGCUCGACGCCGAGGGACUGAUUACCUUUUCUAUUCGCGGGCUGCAGAGUCAGGAGGCGGCCAUGUGCCGUUCCUUGGGCAUUGCCAAUCUCAAAGCCCCUGUCUCAUUCUUUUUCACGCUGGAGGGGCUGGCGGACUACGAGGCGAUGGUGGGGCCGACGCUGCGCGCUCUCGAUGACGUUGUGGACGUGCGCUUCCAAUACGAAGGUCUCGCAAAGGACGCUGUCACGCUGGCGGCCAUCGAGCAGACAACCUUCUGCUUCCAGUUGCACUGCGCCGCCGGCGAGACGAGCCGAUUGGUAGCCAUGGCGGAGCUGCCUGGAGCGUCGCUGCUGAAUGCGCGCGAGGUCCUGGUGGAAGACACACUGAACCUCAUCGACGGCGAGGGACAGAAGGUGGGGAGUAUCCUGGUCGAGUUCUGCUGCGCUCGUCUUGUGCUGCCCAUCCUGCUAGGCGCCCCUCUUUCCGACCCACGUGCCGGGGCGACCUCCUUCACUCUGUCUGCGCCAGAGAUCAAAGCGGCCAUGGUGGCGCUGCGCACUGUGUGCCACCUGCGCAUUCAAGUGUUCCGCGCCGAGGGCCUGGGCGGCUCCGCAGAGGCAGGCACGGCGCCUCAGCCCUACGUCUUCUAUACAGCCACGUCGCCUCUCGGGGCCCUCAACUGCGUGCGGGACACUGUCGUGCACCCGUCUAGCCGCGCCUUUACCACAGACCCUGUUUUUGAUGCGAUGCCGGUGGAUCACCGUGUCAUUGUCGAUCCGGCGCUGAUCCGGUUCGUGGCGUUUGGCGUCGUCAGCUUCGUCCUGUUUGAUGAGCGCGCGACCAAUGUGCAAUCCAACCUCGGCGUGGUGGAGGUGGCGCUGCGUCCGCUGCUCAACUCGCCGCAUGCGACCAUUCGAGUCACGGAGAAGCUGCAUCCGCAGGGCACGCUGAGCGUUGGGCUGUCGUGGGUGUCCGGUGUGUGAAGUAGCCGCAUUCGUGAGCGCGCGUGCGUGAGCGAAGGGUGUGUGGCGCUCGGAUGAGCAUCGCCGCUUGUGGCGCGCGUCGUGUUUAGAGAUGUGGCGGGUGCCGCUCUCGCUUUCCAUGGCUUUGCCGUCGUUUACCGUUUUCACUAUGCCUCUCUGCCAUGUGUGGGGUGGCGCAUCGCAUGCUGUGUCUUUAGAGCGUGUCGUGUAUGUGGACUCGCGCACAAGCAUACAAGCACACACGCACACGCACACACACACACACACGUGCUGACCAGGUAAGCGGGUGCUCGCUUGAAUGCCUCAAAAAGUGCACACGGACGCGUGUGGAUUGGCCGAGUUUCGACGGACUCGUGAGGAGCGCAGAGAAGUGUCUCUUUCUCUAUGGUGCCCCGUGGGUGACGGCAGGGGACUUGUGGACGGUGCGUCG
rnacentral:misc_RNA from 1 species